rnacentral:misc_RNA from 1 species
GGAAGUUUUAAUCUAUCAUACCUUGAUUCUGGCGAUUUGGUGAUCUUAAAUGCAAGCUAUGAAAUCGUUAGUUACCCAGUUCAGUAAAUAAUCCCUCUCAGGAAUCCGCGCAAGAAAAAUGACAAAAAUGUUACACCGCGAUUAGAAGAAGGAAAUUGUAAAUUACCAUCAAAUCCAGAGCUGAAAACCUCUGAGCUUCAGAGUUCCCAAUUACAGGAAAUGUUUUCUGCGAUUGACAAUGUCCCAUAUUAGAUUGCGGGGGUCAGGUGGUGGUGGGAAACUCUUGACUGCCGGCGGUAGUGACAACUUCUAACGCUGGUCAUGAAGGGUAGCUACCGGUGCC